rnacentral:lncRNA from 1 species
AGAGGUUUGGAACCUUUGUUGUCUCCGUUUCUCUAGAAUAAAGAUUUUAUUCUUGUUUGUCCACUGAUUUAGGGAGCAUAUGAAGUUUUACCAAAUUAAUCGAUAAAAAAUAUAACGUGGCCCAUUUACCAUGUAAGAGAGUUUAGAAUACAUUAAUAAAAAUGUAGAAUGUAGUUGAAAAUUUUAAAACAACACUAAAAAUUAUAGGAUUCAGUAUAUUAACCAUUUACCGAAAAACUGAAUAUUUUGUAGGGGUUACCGCAUAGAUUUUGAGAAAAAUUCAAAAAUAUGAUAAUAUUGUUUUAAUGAAUAGUUGUAUCAUGAACUAACAUAUGAUGAUGGUCAAAGAGGUUUGGAACCUUUGUUGUUUCUUUUUCUCUAGAAUAAAGAUUUUAUUGUGGUUUGUCCACUGAUAUAUAUGGAGCAUAUGAAGUUUUACUAAAUUAAUUGAUAAAAAAUAGAACGACGCCGAUUUACCAUGUAAGAGAGUUUAGAAUAAAUUAAUACAAAUUUAGAAUAUGGUUAGAAUAUUUAAAACAAAACUAAAAAUUAUAGGCUUCAGUAUAUUAACCAUUUACCAAAAAAACUGAAUAUUUUGUAGAGGUUAACAUACUGAAGCCUAUAACUUUUAGU